rnacentral:lncRNA from 1 species
UCACAGUCAGCCAAGCCCAGCAGGCUUCGGUCCACACAGUAUAGCCCUGAGACCAGGAACAGACUGAAACCAUGCCUAUAGGUUGUUACAUGGGCGCUGGGAUGCAAACUCGGGUCCUAACGAUUGACUAGCAAAGUACUCUCAACCACUGGCCCUGUUUGUCAUAUUUCUUAAGGUUAUUGUAUCUGUUUUGUUUCAAUUUUGUUAAGUCUGUGUGCCUGUAACUGAGUACAGGCGUGAGUGUGAGGGGCAGUCCUGUGCUGCCACCUUGUGGGAUCAGGAAAACCAAACACCCAUCAGGCCUGCAUUGAGUGCCUCUCUCUACAGGCUAAGCUACCUCACAGGCCUUAUGUUCUCUUUUGGAUCAGGCUGGCUUUGAAUUCUGUAUAUAUUUUAAUUGGUCUUUAACUCCUAAUCCUCCUGCCUCUACUUCUCAGAUGCUGGGGUAGCAGGCAUGUGCCACAGUGUCUUUAGCAGUCAUUUACUUGGGACCAGCAGGAUAACAGCAGGUAAAGGCCCUUGAAGUGCCAGUCUGACAACCUGAGUUCAACCCCUAGAACCCAUAGACAGGUGCAAGGAGAGAGCCGCUCCCCAAAGGCUGAUUGCCCCACCCACAAGUGCACACAUCCUGUUUGAGAGGGUGCGCACACAUGAGUGCAACACUCAUUUAAGUAAGGAUGUGUGUACUCUUAAGAACAAUGCCUAUAGAGGCCAGAGGUGUUAGAUGCCCUGGCACUGGAACUGCAGACAGCUGUGGAAGCUGAGAACCAAGCUCAGAUCCUUUGCGUGGACAGGACAUUCUCUUAACCAGGCCUCACCUCUCUCACCAGCCCUGUAACUUACAUUCUUAAAAAUAUCCAUGGUCACUGGGAAUGUAAAUUUGUAUAGCAAUUGUGGAGGUUUUUCAAAAAAGUUAAGUUGAACUACUCUGUGUAUAACGGGGCUAUCUUAGACCCAGCAGCAGCAUUAUAAAUAAUGACAUGGGCGCUUACUAAUAUUUUAAAGUUUAGGCCUCUUCUUGGGCAGUCUCCUGACUACUCUAACCACCACUUGGCCAGUUCUACCUCUGUUUUCCACUCUGAUCUAUGCGUUCACCUCUCUGUCCACUGGCAAAUCUCCUGCCUCUCAGUUCUUCUACAACCCUCUUUCUACCUGGAAGUUCCUCCUUCCAUUUCCUGCCCAGCUAUUGGCCGACAGCUCUUUAUUAAAGUCAAUUCUAAAAUGCCUUAGGCAGGUAAGGAAAAAUGAAUAUUUACAAAAUAUGAGACCAGUGAUACAGAAUUAACAAUUGAAUGUAGAGACAUACCUUCACACAAUGUACCCCAACACGUGUGGCCCAGCUGCACCAUGUUCGCUUAUGUUUGAAGGACACUAGGGCAGCUACCACAGGGUACUUGGAUAACAGUGGUUAUCACAGUAGUCAGGAAAUGGAACCGUCCUUAUUGUCUGUCAGCAGGAUUGCAACCAGGUGUGGUGGCAUUCUGAAAUAGAGGCAAGAGGGUCAGGAAGGAGUUCAAGGUCUAAAAUAACAAAAACAAACAAAUCCCAGAAAUAUGAAAUCAUGGCAUUUAAAAAAAAUUAUGUUAAGUAAAACAAGCCAAGCUCAAACACCAAAUGUUUUCUUGUAUGUGGAACCUAGGUCUAAAUUGUGUAUAAGCAGAGAGGGCUCUUGUAACCAGAAAGUCAUGGAAGGGGAAAAGAGUAAGUGAUGGAGUGAGUGCAUGUGAUGAGAAAGCCAAAAGACCUAUCAGAGAAAUGCCAGGCAGAGUGGGCUAUAGGGCAAGGAGGUGUGUGUGCGUGCAUGUAUGCACGUGGGGGCGGGGGAGGGGAGGCAUGAAUCAGCACAUGCUUGAAAGUACCACAGUGGAACCCAUUAUUUCGUAUGCUAACUAAAAAAUUAAUUUUAAAAACCUACACGUGUAUGUACAAAAAAAAAAAUUGAAGCUUUAAAAAUAGAUGUGAUAAUGUACAGAUGUAGCUCUGUCCCUUGGGAGGCAGAGGCAGGACCAUCCUGGGCUAUGUAGUUAGACCCUGGUUCAAAAAGUAAGUGAGGGCUGGAAAGAUGGCUCAGAGGUUAAGAGGUCCUGAGUUCAAAUCCCAGCACCCACAUGGUGGCUCACAACCAUUUGUAAUGAGAUCUGAUGCCCCCUUCUGGUGUGUCUGAAGAUAGCAACAGUGAACGUAUAUAUAAUAAACAAAUUAGUCUUUUUAAGAAAAUAAAUGAAUGAGUAAGUGAAUGAAUGAAUGAGUGAAUGAAUGAAUGCAUAAAGGAAUAAAGAAAUGCUGCUGAGAUGGCUGAUCCGGUAAAGGUGCCUGCUGGCAAGGCUGAUGACCUGAGUUUGAUAACUGGAUCCUACAUGAUGGAAGGAGAGAAGCUGUUCUCUGACUUUCAUCUGUGUUCACAGGCACACACACAGACACAGUAUAUUAAAAACAAAAAACCAAAAAUACUGUUUGGUUUCCUCAUUUGCUCUGUGCAAAAGUUAUAUAGAAUUCAUGUUUCUUAAUAUAAGGAGUUAUAUAUAGGGUACCUUUAAAGAAAUAUAUUCACAUACCUAAAAGAUGAUGCUAGAGGCAGUUUCUAUAUUGUCUUUUAUUCCUCUUUUCCUC